GUGCUCACUUCGGCAGCACAUAUACUAAAACUGGAACCAUACAGAGAAGAUUAGCAUGGCCUCUGCACAAUGAGGACACACACCUUCAUUAAGUGUUGCAUAUUUUU